GAUGAACGCUGGCGGCGUGCCUAAUACAUGCAAGUCGAGCGAACGGACGAGAAGCUUGCUUCUCUGAUGUUAGCGGCGGACGGGUGAGUAACACGUGGAUAACCUACCUAUAAGACUGGGAUAACUUCGGGAAACCGGAGCUAAUACCGGAUAAUAUUUUGAACCGCAUGGUUCAAAAGUGAAAGACGGUCUUGCUGUCACUUAUAGAUGGAUCCGCGCUGCAUUAGCUAGUUGGUAAGGUAAUGGCUUACCAAGGCAACGAUGCAUAGCCGACCUGAGAGGGUGAUCGGCCACACUGGAACUGAGACACGGUCCAGACUCCUACGGGAGGCAGCAGUAGGGAAUCUUCCGCAAUGGGCGAAAGCCUGACGGAGCAACGCCGCGUGAGUGAUGAGGGUCUUCGGAUCGUAAAACUCUGUUAUUAGGGAAGAACAUAUGUGUAAGUAACUGUGCACAUCUUGACGGUACCUAAUCAGAAAGCCACGGCUAACUACGUG
rnacentral:rRNA from 1 species